rnacentral:rRNA from 1 species
GUAGUCCAUGCCGUAAACGAUGAGUGCUAGGUGUUGGAGGGUUUCCGCCCUUCAGUGCCGCAGCUAACGCAUUAAGCACUCCGCCUGGGGAGUACGACCGCAAGGUUGAAACUCAAAGGAAUUGACGGGGGCCCGCACAAGCGGUGGAGCAUGUGGUUUAAUUCGAAGCAACGCGAAGAACCUUACCAGGUCUUGACAUCCUUUGACCACUCUAGAGAUAGAGCUUUCCCUUCGGGGACAAAGUGACAGGUGGUGCAUGGUUGUCGUCAGCUCGUGUCGUGAGAUGUUGGGUUAAGUCCCGCAACGAGCGCAACCCUUAUUACUAGUUGCCAGCAUUUAGUUGGGCACUCUAGUGAGACUGCCGGUGACAAACCGGAGGAAGGUGGGGACGACGUCAAAUCAUCAUGCCCCUUAUGACCUGGGCUACACACGUGCUACAAUGGAUGGUACAACGAGUCGCGAGACCGCGAGGUUUAGCUAAUCUCUUAAAACCAUUCUCAGUUCGGAUUGUAGGCUGCAACUCGCCUACAUGAAGCCGGAAUCGCUAGUAAUCGCGGAUCAGCAUGCCGCGGUGAUACGUUCCCGGGCCUUGUACUCACCGCCCGUC